rnacentral:lncRNA from 9 species
AUGCCUCAGUUUUUCUUUUACCAUUCCCCAGGGCUUAGCGUCAACUCCAUGAGGGCAAGAGGAAUACAGAGAGGAAAUAAUUCUGAACCUGUCAGAACUGUCCAGGUUGACAUGACUGAGAAACUAGUGACGUCCGCUGGGUUCGACUGGAAGCACCGAAGCACCAUUUUCUGUAUCAGGAAGAACGGGCAGGGAAGGACGCUAGCGGUGGGAAUCUGGGGCCAGUAGUCCAAAAUCGAGUUUUAGAAAACAAUUAAGUCAUCUCUGGCACACCCGAUUUCUGUGACCUCGAUGUAUCACACCCAUACAUGCAUGCAGUCACACACAUAUGCACAAACACAGAGAGUUUUGCAUCUUUUUAAACAAAAAUGGAACUGUAAGGUACAUGCUAUUCUGUAAUCUGCUUUUCUUGCUUAAUAAUCUCUCUGAAACAUUUUUACAAGGACCAAACUUUCAUGGCAGGCUGAAAUGUGCUGAAUCUCUGGGAGACUGCAUUUUCCAAAGAGGCCUCGAUAACAUCUCCUCUGCCUCACACUCCCCUGAAUUGUGACCUGGCCACUCCAGCAUCAGGAAGUGGAGCCUAAUUCCCCUCCCCUUAAAUCCAGGCUGGCUGGUCUUGGUGACUCACUCAUACCAGAAGAAGAUUGCAAAAGUGAUGGUUUUGUGACUUCUGGGACCAGAUCAAAAGGCCAUGCAACUUCCUCCUGCUACACUUGGAUUGUCUGCAGGUUGGAUGCUCUGUCUUAGAACCCACUUGCCGUGUUUAACAAGCCAAACCCCCCUGGGGAGGCCUAAUGCCAGUGCUCCAGGUGACAAUCCCGGGUAGGCUCAGCCUUCAUAUCAUCCCAGCCCAGACACCAGUCAUGUAAGUAAAACGUCUCCUUAGUUAUUCAAAUCUUCCCACCUGAAGCCCAAGACUGUGGAUCAGAGGAAAGCUGUCUCCAUAGUCCCUUGCUAGAUCUUGGCCCACAGAAUCUGGGAGCAUAGCAAAAUUAUUGUUAUUUUACACCAGCUAGUUUUGUUUUUUGUUUUUGUUUUUUUGCUUUAUAGGGCCGUACCCGUGGCAUAUGGUAGUUCCCAGGCUAGGGGUCAAAUCAGAGAUGCAGCUGCCGGUCUACACCACAGUCAUGGCAAUGUGGGAUCCUCAACCCACUGAGCCAGGCCAGGGAUCGAACCCUGAUCCUCAUAGAUACUAGUCAGAUUCAUUUCCUCUGAACCACAACAGGAACUUCCAAUACCACCUAGCUUGACAAGAGUUUGUUCUGCAGCCAUUGAAAACCAGACCAGAGGUCCAACAGUAUGCAGGAGGCUAUAGACAGAAUGUUUGUUCCCCCUCAAAAUUCAUAUGUUAAAUCCUAAUCCCCAAAGCACUUGUAUUAGGAGGUGGGAGGUGAUUAGGUCAUGAGGGUAGUGCUUUUAUAAAAAAAAAAAAAAAAAAACCCAGACAGCACACUCAUCCCUUCCACCACGUGAAGACACAGGCAGAAGACAGCCGUCUAUGAACCAGAAAGAGAGGCCCCUCCAAAUACCAAAUCUGCCACAAUCUUGAUCUUAGACUUCUCCAGAACGCUAAGAAAUAAAUUUCUGUUGCUUCUAAGCCACCCAGUUUAUGGUAUUCUGUUACCGCACCCCAAAGUAAUUCACAGGAAAAACAUAAAAUGUCGCCAGCCUAAAUCUAAUUAUCAAAGCAAAUUCUUUAUAAACAGUUAAUGAGGCACGUUAAAAGUCAAGCCCCAAUUUAAUUUUUUAAAAAUAUUUUGUCACUUUUUCCCAUUUUCAAUGUACAGCUUCAUCAUGUAAGGGUUUUUUUUUGUUUUGUUUUGUUUUGGUUUUUUUGGUUUUUUAGAGCUGCACCUACAGCCUAUGGAGGUUCCCAGGCUAGGGGUUGAAUCGGAACUGCAGCCACUGGCCUACACCACGGACACAGCAACACCAGAACUGAGCCACUUCUGUGAUCUACACCACAGCUCACAGCAACGCCAGAUCCCUAACCCACUGAGUGAGACCAGGGAUUAAACCUGUGUCCUCAUGGAUACUUGUCAGAUUCGUUCCUGCUCAGCCACGACAGGAACGCCCAUGUGAGCUUAUUAUGUGUAUUAUGUGUCAUUUUACUAAGCACCAAAAAUACUAAAUCCUUCAUUUAAUUCAUAAGAACCCUGCAAAAAGAGUAUUUUAUUUCCAUUUACAGAUGACAAAUCUGAAGCUCUAAACAGUUGCUCGGGUAAUAAAUGGCAGAGCAGAGAUUUGCAUGGCAAUGCUCUGACCCCAAAACAAUGCACUCUGCCCACUACACCAUAAGAGAAUUAGCUGUGUAGCACAUGCAAAGCUUACGGAGCAUAAUAAAACUAUAUUUUUACCAUUCAGCUAAAGAUAGACAGGGGAUUUCGGUGAUAUCUGGUCACAGAAAGAAUUCCACUGUCUCAUUCCUAGUUCUCUUUUGUGAUGGUAUACUCUGGCAAUGCAUCCACUAAACCUUUACUUCACAGGGAUAUUUAUAUAAGUUAAUAUACUUUGCUCAGCCAAAAAUGUUAUCAAGUCUGUUUAUUUGUCAGUGUAUUCAUAUAUGAAAGAUCUCUUCCACUGAGAAACACCAAAUAUAAUAUCAUCAAUACCAACAUGCAAUGAGCUGUUCUUUUUCUAUUUUGAUUUUUAAGAGGGUAUAUUUUGACUUAUAACUGGCAUUCUGUGAUUAUAACAAAUAAUAGACAAAUAAGGGGUGGGGAGGGGGGGAGAUACAGGAAAAUCGGGAGAA